rnacentral:lncRNA from 1 species
CAUCUCUCUCCCUUGUCUCUAGCCCUAGGGCAUUAAUAGCACCCAGCAGUAGGUAAGUUGAGUGCAUCACCUAGGGAACAGGGUCAUGGCAGUGAUAGCAUUGCUUAGGGAUAUGGAUACAUGUGGAUAUAUCUUCCACGCUCAGUCCCAGAAAUCAAUAACUGGGACCAAGGCUCUGGAAGGAGUGUUGGCCCUUGGUGGGAAGGGAAGGCUAAAUGAGAAAAUGAUGAGUAAAUGGGAAAAAUGGGCAAAGUCUGACACAUUUUCUGCUGAGCUCAGGAAGUACAAUUCUCUGAUCUCAGAAGCUGUGAGUGGUAGCUCCUGCUGGGUGAGUGUACGUGGGAGCCUGGACAGGCCCCCAUUGUAAGCCCUGCACAUCAGAAAAUCCACUUGGGGUUUUCAAGAGUAUCUUCACCUGGGGGCAGAGUGAUGGACAAGAUAGCCUUUUCUAGCUCUUCUAGGACCCAGUCUUUACCAAGAAGAACUAGACUGGUCAGCCUCCUGUGGUUUCUAUCUGGGAUUUUCUAGCUGGUAGCAUUUAGUUAAUGAUGGUGGGGUUUGGGCUUGUGAAGUCAGAUAAAGUAGACUGAGAAGUGAUGGGAGGAAGGAGAGAGUAACCCAGAACAAACAUCAGUGCCUACUUCUGCCUUGUCUACUCUGUCCUGAUCCCUAAUGGAGAGUAGGCAGUGGGUAUUAUGAAGUCCCAGCAGCUGUUGAAGUCUCUCAAGUACUAACAAGCAAAAUUCAUCAAUUACACAUUACCAAAAUGAUAGAAUUAUGCCCAUCAGUCCCUAACCUUCAGAAAGAAGAUGGAGACCUGCUGCCCUCCAAUUCGUGGGACUAACACCUUGGGAUGUCCAGAGAAGAGUUGCCAAACUCUGCAACCUCUCUCCCAAGACAGUGAGGUCCUGGGGCUGUGUGGGAUACAACCAGACCACCAUGGACCUUAGCCCUUGCCCAGAAGACAAAUAUGAUACAUAAGACCCAACUGCUUACCUGAAGGUGAUGGCUGUUGGUGGUAAAUCGUUAGCAAAGUGCCUGAAAUGUAGC